rnacentral:rRNA from 1 species
AACGACUCUCGGCAACGGAUAUCUCGGCUCUUCCAUCGAUGAAGAACGUAGCGAAAUGCGAUACUUGGUGUGAAUUGCAGAAUCCCGCGAACCACCAAUUCUUUGAACGCAAGUUGCGCCCGAAGCCAUUCGGCAGAGGGCACGCCUGGCUGGGUGUCGUGA